CCUUCCGCUCCCCGGCCCAGAGGCCCAGCGGGUGGACAAACGGCCCAGGCGUCCGCCCCGCCGCGAUCCAGCAGCCCACCUCGAGCGCCGCGGACCUGGCCGGGGAACUCAACUGUUAGGCAGAAGGGAGGAAUGUACUGUUGAUAUGGACAGACUCCAAGAAGGGGAGGGACUGCUGGGACUACUAGAACGAGAAUGCCUCUGCCCCUAUGGCUCAGCUCUGCAACUCUCUCUGCACAUUGGCUUCAUGCUGUUAGACCAGCUUCCUCCAUAUGUCUGGAAA
rnacentral:lncRNA from 1 species